rnacentral:tRNA from 2 species
UCCCGAGUAGCUCAGUGGCAGAGCUGGUGACUGUUAAUCACUCGGUCGCAGGUUCAAAUCCUGCCUCGGGAG